ACUUAAAUAAUUUAAAUAAAAUAUUGAUUUGUGGUAUCAAAAAUGUAAUAAUUCAGUUAAUAAUUACUUUAAGUU
rnacentral:tRNA from 1 species